GAUGCACUUUGCCCAAUCUGUAAAGAAGAGGAAGAGACAGUAGCCCAUCUGUGUCGAGAUUGCGCAUUCACAAAACCAGUUCUGCAGGAGGUAGGAGUGGCACCCUCGAGCACAAACAUGAAUCAAAGUUGGAAACAAUAGUUACUACUAGAAUUAGGAAAUAACAGUUUACAGUAUUGCACAAAUCUAGCUAAUUCAUUUUGAGCGAUAUGGUAUAAUAGGAAUAAGCUUUAUCACAAGGAAGUAAGGGAGUGGGCACAGGAAGUAGUGGGAUUCAUCAAAGCAUACAUAUCAGAAGUCAAACAAUUGGAAAGUACCCAAGAUUAAACACAAAAUAGGAAAAGAAAGUUGGGAACCACUAGAGGGCGAAUUAGUUAAAGCCAAUUUUGAUGCAUUCUACCAGAAAUAAUUAAUCAGAGCUAUAUCCGGGAUUGUAAUCAGGAAUAAUGAAGGAUUACUAAUGGGAUCGUGUUUUCACCCAUGGGAGAACAUUUGAGAUCCGACCAUUGCAGAAGCACGGGCGUGCCUAUAGGCAGUCAUCUUCACAGAAGAUUUGGGUUUUAGAGAAG
rnacentral:lncRNA from 1 species